rnacentral:rRNA from 1 species
AACGAACGCUGGCGGCAUGCCUAACACAUGCAAGUCGAACGAGACCUUCGGGUCUAGUGGCGCACGGGUGCGUAACGCGUGGGAACCUGCCCUUAGGUUCGGAAUAACUCCCCGAAAGGGGUGCUAAUACCGGAUAAUGUCUUCGACCCAAAGAUUUAUCGCCUUUGGAUGGGCCCGCGUUGGAUUAGCUCGUUGGUAGGGUAAAAGCCUACCAAGGCGACGAUCCAUAGCUGGUUUGAGAGGAUGAUCAGCCACACUGGGACUGAGACACGGCCCAGACUCCUACGGGAGGCAGCAGUGGGGAAUAUUGGACAAUGGGCGAAAGCCUGAUCCAGCAAUGCCGCGUGAGUGAUGAAGGCCUUAGGGUUGUAAAGCUCUUUUAACCGGGAUGAUAAUGACAGUACCGGGAGAAUAAGCUCCGGCUAACUCCGUG